rnacentral:tRNA from 1 species
GCUCCUUGGUCAAGCGGUUAAGACACCGCCCUUUCACGGCGGUAACACGGGUUCGAGUCCCGUAGGGAGUCCC